rnacentral:rRNA from 1 species
UUCGAUACUGGUGGCUAGAGUAUGGGAGAGGAUGGUAGAAUUCCAGGUGUAGCGGUGAAAUGCGUAGAGAUCUGGAGGAAUACCGAUGGCGAAGGCAGCCAUCUGGCUAAUACUGACGCUGAGGUACGAAAGCAUGGGGAGCAAACGGGAUUAGAUACCCUGGUAGUCCAUGCCGUAAACGAUGUCUACUAGCCGUUGGGGCCCUUGAGGCUUUAGUGGCGCAGCUAACGCGAUAAGUAGACCGCCUGGGGAGUACGGUCGCAAGACUAAAACUCAAAUGAAUUGACGGGGGCCCGCACAAGCGGUGGAGCAUGUGGUUUAAUUCGAUGCAACGCGAAGAACCUUACCUGGCCUUGACAUACAGAGAACUUUCCAGAGAUGGAUUGGUGCCUUCGGGAACUCUGAUACAGGUGCUGCAUGGCUGUCGUCAGCCCGUGUCGUGAGAUGUUGGGUUAAGUCCCGCAACGAGCGCAACCCUUUUCCUUAUUUGCCAGCACUUCGGGUGGGAACCUUAAGGAUACUGCCAGUGACAAACUGGAGGAAGGCGGGGACGACGUCAAGUCAUCAUGGCCCUUACGGCCAGGGCUACACACGUGCUACAAUGGUCGGUACAAAGGGUUGCUACGCAGCGAUGUGAUGCUAAUCUCAAAAAGCCGAUCGUAGUCCGGAUUGGAGUCUGCAACUCGACUCCAUGAAGUCGGAAUCGCUAGUAAUCGCGGAUCAGAAUGCCGCGGUGAAUACGUUCCCGGGCCUUGUACACACCGCCCGUCACACCAUGGGAGUUUGUUGCACCAGAAGUAGGUAGUCUAACCGCAAGGAGGACGCUUACCACGGUGUGGCCGAUGACUGGGGUG